UGUUUGAGGCGGGGCUGGGGUGGAGACUGUGGUUCUGCAGCCUUCAUGUACAGCCUAAGGCUGCAUCCAUGACAAGUGCUCUGACAUGGACUCGGAGAACAAGAAGUUGGCAUCCUAGGCUCCACUGGUUAAAUUUAUCCUGGGAAGGAAUGUGAAGGGAACAGGGAGAGAAAUCAGAGCGGACUUGGUUUUCUUCCAGCACCUGCCUUCCAAGAGGCAAUAAGCGUGACAGACCAAUCCCCGACACUGGACCGAGCUGAGCCGUUUUGUGGCCUGACAGUACUGCGAUGCUUCACACGUGUUCCCUUGUGCCGUUAGCAGGAACGGAUAAAGGAUGAGAACUGGCCUCAUUCCACUCUCCGUCAGCCAUGAAGCUCAGCAUGUGACAGAACCAGAAGCUGAAAGAGACCUUCAAAGCCAUCCCCUCAUUAUCCACGAGAGUUUCCCCUCUUGGGACCUGCCUGAAUGCUCCUGUGCAAGGAAACAUGCAGCCAAAUUUAGCUUUAAGUAGUGCCAACCAUUGCAAGGGCUUCCCCAUGCUGAGCUGACAUUCAGUAAUGUUUGCUGAAUGGAGAAGGGUUUUUUUUUUUAUCACGGUGUACAAAUCCCUUGGAAGCACUCAUAUCUGUUUAGAAAUGAUUUGUCCUCCCAUAGAGUAGUGGAAACUCCUUCGUAAACCAGGACCCAAACUGUUAAACCAGCAGGAAAAAACAGCAACAAACGUGCAGGAUCUGGGCUGACUUGGGAGGGAAAAUCCAGGCCUGGGAUUUGGGUUUCUCUGUGAAGGAGGUGCCAUUCUCAGCAAAGCUUUGCCUGCUGGGAAGUAAUUUUGCCAGCUGAAACACACUUUUGCAGUUGAUUCUGUACCGAUAGGAAAAUAUUGCCUGGCAGUCUCUUUGCAUCUGGGAUGGGGGCCACAUCCUCAGAGCCUGCUGGGACUCCUCCCCUGAGAGACAGGCCCAAAGCCAGGUUUAUUUAUUUAAGAGUCUAUGGACCUGAUCAACUGCAAAAGCAGCCAUUUAAAAAGUUGUCUGCUGUUGGUUUUUAAAAACAUAUCACUAGCUGGCUGUGGUGGGACACACCUGUCAUCCCGGCAUCGGGAGAGUAGGAGGGUUAGUGUGA